GAUGAACGCUGGCGGCGUGCCUAAUACAUGCAAGUCGAGCGAACAGAUGAGGAGCUUGCUCCUCUGACGUUAGCGGCGGACGGGUGAGUAACACGUGGAUAACCUACCUAUAAGACUGGGAUAACUUCGGGAAACCGGAGCUAAUACCGGAUAAUAUAUUGAACCGCAUGGUUCAAUAGUGAAAGACGGUUUUGCUGUCACUUAUAGAUGGAUCCGCGCCGCAUUAGCUAGUUGGUAAGGUAACGGCUUACCAAGGCAACGAUGCGUAGCCGACCUGAGAGGGUGAUGGGCCACACUGGAACUGAGACACGGUCCAGACUCCUACGGGAGGCAGCAGUAGGGAAUCUUCCGCAAUGGGCGAAAGCCUGACGGAGCAACGCCGCGUGAGUGAUGAAGGUCUUCGGAUCGUAAAACUCUGUUAUUAGGGAAGAACAAAUGUGUAAGUAACUAUGCACGUCUUGACGGUACCUAAUCAGAAAGCCACGGCUAACUACGUG
rnacentral:rRNA from 1 species